rnacentral:rRNA from 1 species
GAAACUGGGAGACUUGAGUGCAGAAGAGGACAGUGGAACUCCAUGUGUAGCGGUGGAAUGCGUAGAUAUAUGGAAGAACACCAGUGGCGAAGGCGGCUGUCUAGUCUGUAACUGACGCUGAGGCUCGAAAGCAUGGGUAGCGAACAGGAUUAGAUACCCUGGUAGUCCAUGCCGUAAACGAUGAGUGCUAAGUGUUGGAGGGUUUCCCCCUUCAGUGCUGCAGCUAACGCAUUAAGCACUCCGCCUGGGGAGUACGACCGCAAGGUUGAAACUCAAAGGAAUUGACGGGGGCCCGCACAAGCGGUGGAGCAUGUGGUUUAAUUCGAAGCUACGCGAAGAACCUUACCAGGUCUUGACAUCUUCUGCCAAUCUUAGAGAUAAGACGUUCCCUUCGGGGACAGAAUGACAGGUGGUGCAUGGUUGUCGUCAGCUCGUGUCGUGAGAUGUUGGGUUAAGUCCCGCAACGAGCGCAACCCUUAUUAUCAGUUGCCAGCAUUCAGUUGGGCACUCUGGUGAGACUGCCGGUGACAAACCGGAGGAAGGUGGGGAUGACGUCAAAUCAUCAUGCCCCUUAUGACCUGGGCUACACACGUGCUACAAUGGACGGUACAACGAGUCGCGAAGUCGUGAGGCUAAGCUAAUCUCUUAAAGCCGUUCUCAGUUCGGAUUGUAGGCUGCAACUCGCCUACAUGAAGUUGGAAUCGCUAGUAAUCGCGGAUCAGCAUGCCGCGGUGAAUACGUUCCCGGGCCUUGUACACACCGCCCGUCACACCAUGAGAGUUUGUAACACCCAAAGCCGGUGAGAUAACCUUCGGGAGUCAGCCGUCUAAGGUGGGACAGAUGAUUAGGGUGAAGUCGUAACAAGGUAACCAAGGGCGAAUCG